rnacentral:rRNA from 1 species
CCGCAAUGGACGAAAGUCUGACGGAGCAACGCCGCGUGAGUGAUGAAGGUUUUCGGAUCGUAAAGCUCUGUUGUUAGGGAAGAACAAGUGCAAGAGUAACUGCUUGCACCUUGACGGUACCUAACCAGAAAGCCACGGCUAACUACGUGCCAGCAGCCGCGGUAAUACGUAGGUGGCAAGCGUUGUCCGGAAUUAUUGGGCGUAAAGGGCUCGCAGGCGGUUUCUUAAGUCUGAUGUGAAAGCCCCCGGCUCAACCGGGGAGGGUCAUUGGAAACUGGGAAACUUGAGUGCAGAAGAGGAGAGUGGAAUUCCACGUGUAGCGGUGAAAUGCGUAGAGAUGUGGAGGAACACCAGUGGCGAAGGCGACUCUCUGGUCUGUAACUGACGCUGAGGAGCGAAAGCGUGGGGAGCGAACAGGAUUAGAUACCCUGGUAGUCCACGCCGUAAACGAUGAGUGCUAAGUGUUAGGGGGUUUCCGCCCCUUAGUGCUGCAGCUAACGCAUUAAGCACUCCGCCUGGGGAGUACGGUCGCAAGACUGAAACUCAAAGGAAUUGACGGGGGCCCGCACAAGCGGUGGAGCAUGUGGUUUAAUUCGAAGCAACGCGAAGAACCUUACCAGGUCUUGACAUCCUCUGACAACCCUAGAGAUAGGGCUUUCCCUUCGGGGACAGAGUGACAGGUGGUGCAUGGUUGUCGUCAGCUCGUGUCGUGAGAUGUUGGGUUAAGUCCCGCAACGAGCGCAACCCUUGAUCUUAGUUGCCAGCAUUCAGUUGGGCACUCUAAGGUGA